rnacentral:lncRNA from 1 species
GCCAUGGGGCAUUGGUGAGUGGGGUGGUUUUGCACCAUCGAACAGUCGGCAGUGACCUGAACACCUGAUCGGAUGGUUGGAUUUGUUGUCGGUCAAAAGAACAAACCAGAGGCUUCCUUUUGCACUGAUCAAUGGCUAUGAAUGAAUCCGGAUGAGAUCCAAUGGUCCAUGGAGCUACCAGUAGCUAGAACAAACCAAAGCUCCUUCUAUGCGCA